ensembl:snoRNA
CUGCAGAAGUGAUGAGCUCUUCAUGUCUCUUCUCUGAUGAAUCAUGAGCAGAGAAUUUUGACUCUGAUCUGAGCUGUGAAGCAG